ACGUGUAUCAUUCCUAGCCAUCAUCACGAUACUAUCAUCAUAUCUUGAUGGUAUGCACACGGACGUGCUGAGAUCAAAGUAUCACGAAGUUUGUUAUAUAAUCGCAAACAAAUUCUUUAAUAAAACGAUGCAUUUAUGUAUUUUUGAUUUGAAAAUUUGGUAUAACUCCAAUUACUCAGGUAUGAUCCAAUUCAAGGACAUUGCCAGGUAGGGAGUUUGACUGGGGCGGUACAUCUCUCAAAUAAUAACGGAGGUGUCCCAAGGCCAGCUCAGUGCGGACAGAAACCACACAUAGAGCAAAAGGGCAAAUGCUGACUUGAUCUCGGUGUUCAGUACACACAGGGACAGCAAAAGCUCGGCCUAUCGAUCCUUUUGGUUUAAAGAGUUUUUAACAAGAGGUGUCAGAAAAGUUACCAUAGGGAUAACUGGCUUGUGGCGGCCAAGCGUUCAUAGCGACGUCGCUUUUUGAUCCUUCGAUGUCGGCUCUUCCUAUCAUUGUGAAGCAAAAUUCACCAAGCGUUGGAUUGUUCACCCAUGCAAGGGAACGUGAGCUGGGUUUAGACCGUCGUGAGACAGGUUAGUUUUACCCUACUAAUGACAAAACGUUGUUGCGACAGCAUUCCUGCGUAGUACGAGAGGAACCGCAGGUACGGACCAAUGGCACAAUACUUGUUCGAGCGAACAGUGGUAUGACGCUACGUCGUUGGAUUAUGCCUGAACGCCUCUAAGGUCGUAUCCGUGCUGGACUGCAAUGAUAAAUAAGGGGCAAUUUGCAUUGUAUGGCUUCUAAACCAUUUAAAGUUUAUAAUUUAUUUUAUAAACGACAAUGGAUGUGAUGCCAAUGUAAUUUGUAACAUAGUAAAUUAGGAGGAUCUUCGAUCACCUGAUGCCGCGCUAGUUACAUAUAAAAGCAUUAUUUAAUACAAUGACAAAGCCUAGAAUCAAUUGUAAACGACUUUUGUAACAGGCAAGGUGUUGUAAGUGGUUGAGCAGCUGCCAUACUGCGAUCCACUGAAGCUUAUCCUUUGCUUGAUGAUUCGA
rnacentral:ncRNA from 1 species